UUUAGAGUUUGAUUCCUGGCUCAGGACGAACGCUGGCGGCGUGCCUAAUACAUGCAAGUCGAGCGAUGAUUGAAGAUAGCUUGCUAUUUUCAUGAAGAGCGGCGAACGGGUGAGUAACGCGUGGGAAAUCUGCCGAGUAGCGGGGGACAACGUUUGGAAACGAACGCUAAUACCGCAUAACAAUGAGAAUCGCAUGAUUCUUAUUUGAAAGAAGCAAUUGCUUCACUACUUGAUGAUCCCGCGUUGUAUUAGCUAGUUGGUAGUGUAAAGGACUACCAAGGCGAUGAUACAUAGCCGACCUGAGAGGGUGAUCGGCCACACUGGGACUGAGACACGGCCCAGACUCCUACGGGAGGCAGCAGUAGGGAAUCUUCGGCAAUGGGGGCAACCCUGACCGAGCAACGCCGCGUGAGUGAAGAAGGUUUUCGGAUCGUAAAACUCUGUUGUUAGAGAAGAACGUUAAGUAGAGUGGAAAAUUACUUAAGUGACGGUAUCUAACCAGAAAGGGACGGCUAACUACGUGCCAGCAGCCGCGGUAAUACGUAGGUCCCAAGCGUUGUCCGGAUUUAUUGGGCGUAAAGCGAGCGCAGGUGGUUUCUUAAGUCUGAUGUAAAAGGCAGUGGCUCAACCAUUGUGUGCAUUGGAAACUGGGAGACUUGAGUGCAGGAGAGGAGAGUGGAAUUCCAUGUGUAGCGGUGAAAUGCGUAGAUAUAUGGAGGAACACCAGUGGCGAAGGCGGUUUGCUGGCCUGCAACUGACGCUGAGGCACGAAAGCGUGGGGAGCGAAUAGGAUUAGAUACCCUAGUAGUCCACGUCGUAAACGAUGAGAACUAGGUGUUGGGGAAACUCAGUGCCGCAGUUAACGCAGUAAGUUCUCCGCCUGGGGAGUAUGCACGCAAGUGUGAAACUCAAAGGAAUUGACGGGGGCCCGCACAAGCGGUGGAGUAUGUGGUUUAAUUCGAAGCAACGCGAAGAACCUUACCAGGCCUUGACAUCCCGAGCGAAGUUAUGGAGACAUAAUGGAGGUUAUCUCGGUGACAGGUGGUGCAUGGUUGUCGUCAGCUCGUGUCGUGAGAUGUUGGGUUAAGUCCCGCAACGAGCGCAACCCUUGUCUUUAGUUACUAACAUUAAGUUGAGGACUCUAGAGAGACUGCCGGUGAUAAACCGGAGGAAGGUGGGGAUGACGUCAAAUCAUCAUGCCCCUUAUGGCCUGGGCUACACACGUACUACAAUGGCAGCUACAAAGAGCAGCGAACUCGCGAGAGCAAGCAAAUCUCACAAAGGCUGUCUCAGUUCGGAUUGGAGUCUGCAACUCGACUCCAUGAAGUCGGAAUCGCUAGUAAUCGUAGAUCAGCAUGCUACGGUGAA
rnacentral:rRNA from 1 species